UUGCAGGGUAAACCAAGAAAUAACACACAGAGAUGAUGUAACUUUUUGGCUGAUACUUUGUCAAUAGGUUUCAUAGGAGAUGACAAGGAGACUUUUGAGACAUUUGAAUCUAUGGAGUUUAGACUACUCUUUUUCUAGAGGAACUGCUCAUUUACUUGCAAAGAUCUUGACUAUCAACAAACUCUAAGGGAACUCUAGUUAUCAUGGAAGACACACGGCAGUAACCAUUCCUCGGACUAUAAAUCUCCAACCGAUUUCUGUGCCUUCGAUUACAGUAAAUGAAUUGAAGUCUGUGACAGAUAGUUUUGGUACGAAGUCUUUCCUUGGUGAAGGUGCGUACGUGAAAGUAUAUCGCGCCAUGUUGAAAAUGGGACGUGAAACUGAACUCUGUUUGUCGAAAUCAUUUGGAUUUGCGGGUACAAAGGAUAAGUGUGCUGUUACGACCCAAAGGGCUUGUGGAUUGAAAUGGGCAUGUGAUGAUAGGGAACUUGCUUCUGGUGGUAAAGAUAAUCAGGUGUACUAACACAUAAUUGUGUCAUUCUAUGCUUUAUGUAUUCUUCUAGAGCUUUUUAAAUCACCUCUUGUUUAAUGUCAUGUUAAUUAUUAUAUGAGCAGUUGUUGGUAUGGAAUCAACACUCUCGGUUAGAAUCCAAAUUGAAACAAUGUCACCAAACUCAGUUAGAAGGAAUAUUAGCCAUAAAGAGACCUCAUUCUGAGUCAUUCUUAAGUGCUGAAGAAUUCAGGAAUGAUUAGCAUCAAAAACUAUAUUUAACUCUUUAAUCUAUUGUAGUUAAUAGUUUUUCUUUGUUCUUGGCAGAAGUUAGGCUUCUUUCAGCUGCAAAACACAAGAACCUUGUUGUUCUGGUUGGAUAUUGUGAACAACCAGAAAGAGAUGGAGCUAAAAUACUAGUCUAUGAAUAUGUAUCAAAUGGAGCAGGAAAAGGUAUAACUUUUAAAUGAUAAUCCAUGUUCAUUUAACAAACAUCUUUUUAUCAGCAUAGAAUUGCUUGGUACCUUGUAUAGGCAUAGCUUAUUUGCAUGAAGAGGUGAAGCCAAGUAUAAUUCAUCGUGACAUCAAACCAAGUAACAUACUAUUAGGGGAAGGUUUUGAGGCCAAAGUUUCAGAUUUUGGGUUGGUAAAAUCAGGACCUACUGGUGAUCAAUCACAUGUCAGAAGUGUGAAGGGAGACUAUAUUUCUUUUUGUUUUAGAAUCUAGUCUAGAGGAGAAGUGAGGCAAUGAUUUGUCAUAGAUAUCCUUGGUGGUCACUCCUCUAUCGUAAAAAGGGUGGAGUUAUUGUUCAUUAAGCUUUGCAAAUGUAUAAUCCAUAAUUUAAAAUAAUGAAUUCCUUGCGUGGUAUGUAAUUUCCUUGUUGGUGACUCCCUUGUAAUCUUCUCUCUUCUAUGCUUCUCUUUUUUUUGGCUCAAUUGGACCUUAAGCUAUGACAUUUGUGUUCAGGUGCUGUAUCUUCAAGGAAAAUAAAAGGAGGCUGAUUAUCAUCUGUUUGUUAGGUGCAUAUCACACAAGGUGAUUAUGAAAGAAGAGCAGUAAUCGUCUCAUGGGUGACCUCGAAUGAACCAGAGUCCAGCCAUGUACAAUUUGGCACAUCACAGAAAGAGUAUCAAACUAGUGUAAAAGGUGCAGUUUCAAAUUACACUCUCAUCUAAUACAAAUCUGGUUACAUUCAUCAUUGUCUUGUUGAAGGCCUUAAGGUACUUGUUUCAAAUUAGGAGAGUAGAAUUAUCAUUUGUGUUUUUUUACUUCAAAUGUCAAAAGUGAAAUAAAUUGAACAGUGGAUUCUAACUAAAAGAACAACAUAUAUUUCAUUUUUGAAUAAUGACACCUCCCGAAGUUGAACCAGAUGCCCCUUACAAAUUUGGGAUCAUUGAUACAUAGUCAGUUUUCCCAAAUAUGCUCUUCUACUUGAACAUAAUAUUUUGCAUCCUUAAUUGCAAAUUUUGUUUCUACAUAAACUAUUAUCUGUCACUAUUUUAUUUUGUUGUAAUUUCUCAUGAUUUCUACAUAAACUAUUAUCUAUCACUAUUCUAUGAGCUGGCUUCAAAAUGCUGCUUUCAACGUGCCAUUUGUAAUACUAAAUGGACAAACUCACAUAAUCUUCCAUCAGUUGUAGGAUGUCUGUUUGCAUCAUCUGAUGCAAAAGAGGAAGCUACCAAGUUGGGGACUGUUAUUGGGAUAGAUCUUGGAUUAAGGUGGUUUGUUACUAUGUUGUAUUUGUUCAAUUUUACAUUGUACUUCAAUGUUGUAAAUUUGUAAUUUGGAUUAAGGUGGUUUGGAUUAAUAGUGUCAUCAAUUAUUUUUUUA